rnacentral:rRNA from 1 species
CCUACGGGAGGCAGCAGUGAGGAAUAUUGGACAAUGGAGGCAACUCUGAUCCAGCCAUGCCGCGUGCAGGAAGACUGCCCUAUGGGUUGUAAACUGCUUUUAUAUAGGAAGAAACCUUGGUACGUGUACCAAGCUGACGGUACUAUAAGAAUAAGGAUCGGCUAACUCCGUGCCAGCAGCCGCGGUAAUACGGAGGAUCCAAGCGUUAUCCGGAAUCAUUGGGUUUAAAGGGUCCGUAGGUGGAUAAUUAAGUCAGAGGUGAAAUCUUGCAGCUCAACUGUAAAAUUGCCUUUGAUACUGGUUAUCUUGAGUUAUUAUGAAGUAGUUAGAAUAUGUAGUGUAGCGGUGAAAUGCAUAGAUAUUACAUAGAAUACCAAUUGCGAAGGCAGAUUACUAAUAAUCAACUGACACUGAUGGACGAAAGCGUGGGUAGCGAACAGGAUUAGAUACCCUGGUAGUCCACGCCGUAAACGAUGGUUACUAGCUGUUUGGACCUUGUGUCUGAGUGGCUAAGCGAAAGUGAUAAGUAACCCACCUGGGGAGUACGUUCGCAAGAAUGAAACUCAAAGGAAUUGACGG